rnacentral:rRNA from 1 species
CAUGGGGGAACCCUGAUGCAGCGACGCCGCGUGGAGGAAGAAGGUCUUCCGAUUGUAAACUCCUGUUGUUGAGGAAGAUAAUGACGGUACUCAACAAGGAAGUGACGGCUAACUACGUGCCAGCAGCCGCGGUAAAACGUAGGUCACAAGCGUUGUCCGGAAUUACUGGGUGUAAAGGGAGCGCAGGCGGGAAGACAAGUUGGAAGUGAAAUCCAUGGGCUCAACCCAUGAACUGCUUUCAAAACUGUUUUUCUUGGGUAGUGCAGAGGUAGGCGGAAUUCCCGGUGUAGCGGUGGAAUGCGUAGAUAUCGGGAGGAACACCAGUGGCGAAGGCGGCCUACUGGGCACCAACUGACGCUGAGGCUCGAAAGUGUGGGUAGCAAACAGGAUUAGAUACCCUGGUAGUCCAAGGGCGAAUUC